rnacentral:lncRNA from 1 species
GUAGAGGGAGAAAGGAAAGCGUUAGAGGCAGAAGGGUUUAGUGAACUGGCAGUCUGUUCUCGGGUGAGGAUUCAAGUCAUACGGGAAGAAGUGGCCUGGGGCAGCAUUGGAGCAAAUGCAGUUUUAGGCAGCUAACGUGAUCAUAAUAGAUUUUAUAUUUUUUUUCUGUGUUAGAAAUUAAUUUUGUUGGGGGGGUCCCUCCACAACCCACUGUGGGUGUUUGUGUGUAUGUUUUAAAGGAUUUCAUUGGCAGGUGGUCAGCCUUGAUGCUAUAUUGAAAGCCUGCUUACGUACUUGAAACAAGCUUAGGUUUAUCUUAAUUACCUCAGGUCUUAACUCAGCAUAAUUAUAUAUAUAUAAAGUCUAUGUGCUAUAAAAAAUAGACAUGUUUUUAAAUGCUUUUAAUACAGGGCUUUUUUUUUUCAUUACUCCCCUGAAUAAUUCUAAAUUCAACACAAAAUCCCAGCGUUCCUUCUGACAGGCUACGGGAACAAAGCAGCAGGCCCACAUAGGCUUGUAGCCUAUUUAAACAUCUGAAAAUGACUUAGAAGGAGACCCUACUCCUUUGUCUUCUGCUGAGACCCUGACAACACGGGAGAGCAUGCAGCUGUCUGAGUGUGAGCUUCUCCUCUGGUAUGAAGACAGAUGAGGGUGGAAGGCUUUUGUCCACUGAGAAGGAGUGCAUCCUAGAGCAAUCCGGAUUUGCCUUCUUGAGGAUAUUGUGGGAGGAGCCAGCAUCCUUGGUUUCCUGAGAUCUGAGAUGGGAAAAGCCAGUUACUUCUCUCUCUCUCUCUCUCUCUCUCUCUCUCUCUCUCUCUCUCUCUCUCUCUCUCUGUCUCUCUCUCUCUCUCCUCCCUCCAUCUCCCUCUUUAAAAGGACUCUAGUCUUAUGUCCCCUAGGCUGAUUUUGAACUUAAACUUAGCUGAGCCUGACCUUGAACCCCUGGCCCUCCUGCUUCUUGUGAACACAGGCAAGCCUCCUCUCACUCCACCCCCACCCCAAUCCCUGCCUGAGAUGGAGGUGGGACCCAUGGCAUCCUGGAUAUUAGGCAAGCAAUGUACCAACUGAGAGCCCCAGCUGUUUUACUCACAUUCCAGAGAAGACCACCAAAGUGCAGUUUGCCUUCUGCAUUUGCACAGCAUAUGCGCUGGGGCACUGAGGGGCCUUGGUGGGUCUGAGGGGGUCUUGAAUACCCAGGUGAAGUCACCUCCUGCCACUCCUAAGAAAUUGCUAUGCCACACCCUCAACCACUUUUUGCUACAGCAGA